UCCCAGGUGGCUCAGUAAAGAAUCUGCCUGCAAAGUGGGAGACCUGGGUUCAAUCCCUGGUUUGGGAA
rnacentral:tRNA from 1 species